AAAUUAGGUGCAAAAUAUGUUCAAACAAUCCAAACAUUUAAGCAAAUGCAUAAGCAAUUGAUCACACCAAGCAAUCCUCAAAAAUAAGUUCAAAUAUGAUUCAAAAUUGAUAACCAAAACACCAAAUGAAUUCUCAAAGGACCUAUAUGCAUGUCUCUACAUGUGUACAAAAAUUUGGAUCAAAAUAAAAAAUUAAACCCUAACAAUUAAAACUAGGUCAAUUAACACAUUUAGUUAUAAAAAUCAAA
rnacentral:lncRNA from 1 species